rnacentral:misc_RNA from 1 species
UACGGAGGGUGCAAGCGUUGUUCGGAAUCAUUGGGCGUAAAGCGCACGUAGGCGGCCUGCCAAGUCUGAUGUGAAAUCCCGGGGCUCAACCCCGGAGGGCCAUUGGAAACUGGUAGGCUUGAGAGCGAGAGGGGUCAGUGGAAUUCCUGGUGUAGGGGUGAAAUCCGUAGAGAUCAGGAGGAACACCGGUGGCGAAGGCGACUGACUGGAUCGAAUCUGACGCUGAGGUGCGAAAGCGUGGGGAGCAAACAGG